UACGAAGGGGGCUAGCGUUGCUCGGAAUUACUGGGCGUAAAGGGCGCGUAGGCGGAUAUUUAAGUUAGAGGUGAAAGCCCAGGGCUUAACCCUGGAAUUGCCUUUAAGACUGCAUCGCUAGAAUCGUGGAGAGGUGAGUGGAAUUCCGAGUGUAGAGGUGAAAUUCGUAGAUAUUGGAAGAACACCAGUGGCGAAGGCGACUCACUGGACACGUAUUGACGCUGAGGUGGCGAAAGCGUGGGGAGCAAACAGG
rnacentral:rRNA from 1 species